UACGGAGGGGGCUAGCGUUGUUCGGAAUUACUGGGCGUAAAGCGCACGUAGGCGGCUUUGUAAGUUAGAGGUGAAAGCCCAGGGCUCAACCCUGGAAUUGCCUUUAAGACUGCAUCGCUUGAACAUCGGAGAGGUAAGUGGAAUUCCGAGUGUAGAGGUGAAAUUCGUAGAUAUCGGGAGGAACACCAGUGGCGAAGGCGGCUUCCUGGACCGGUUCUGACACUGAGGAGCGAAAGCGUGGGGAGCGAUCCGG
rnacentral:rRNA from 1 species